AGGUAAGCUACUAAGAGCGAAUGGUGGAUGCCUUGACUGGUAGAGGCGAUGAAGGACGUACUAGACUGCGAUAAGCUACGGGGAGCUGUCAAGAAGCUUUGAUCCGUAGAUUUCCGAAUGGGGCAACCCAAUGUAUAGAGAUAUACAUUACCUAUAUAGGAGCGAACGAGGGGAAUUGAAACAUCUUAGUACCCUCAGGAAAAGAAAUCAAUAGAGAUUGCGUCAGUAGCGGCGAGCGAAAGCGCAAGAGGGCAAACCCAGUGCUUGCACUGGGGGUUGUAGGACUGCAAUGUGCAAGAGGUAAGUUUAGCAGAACAUUCUGGAAAGUAUAACCAUAGAGGGUGAUAGUCCCGUAUGCGAAAAACAAACCUUAGCUAGCAGUAUCCUGAGUAGGGCGGGACACGAGGAAUCCUGUCUGAAUCCGGGUCGACCACGAUCCAACCCUAAAUACUAAUACCAGAUCGAUAGUGCACAAGUACCGUGAGGGAAAGGUGAAAAGAACUGAGGUGAUCAGAGUGAAAUAGAACCUGAAACCAUUUGCUUACAAUCAUUCAGAGCACUAUGUAGCAAUACAGUGUGAUGGACUGCCUUUUGCAUAAUGAGCCUGCGAGUUGUGGUGUCUGGCAAGGUUAAGCAAACGCGAAGCCGUAGCGAAAGCGAGUCUGAAUAGGGCGCUUAGUCAGAUGCUGCAGACCCGAAACGAAGUGAUCUAUCCAUGAGCAAGUUGAAGCUAGUGUAAGAACUAGUGGAGGACUGAACCCAUAGGCGUUGAAAAGCCCCGGGAUGACUUGUGGAUAGGGGUGAAAGGCCAAUCAAACUUCGUGAUAGCUGGUUCUCUCCGAAAUAUAUUUAGGUAUAGCGUUGUGUCGUAAUAUAAGGGGGUAGAGCACUGAAUGGGCUAGGGCAUACACCAAUGUACCAAACCCUAUCAAACUCCGAAUACCUUAUAUGUAAUCACAGCAGUCAGGCGGCGAGUGAUAAAAUCCGUCGUCAAGAGGGAAACAACCCAGACUACCAGCUAAGGUCCCUAAAUCUUACUUAAGUGGAAAACGAUGUGAAGUUACUUAAACAACCAGGAGGUUGGCUUAGAAGCAGCCAUCCUUUAAAGAAAGCGUAAUAGCUCACUGGUCUAGUGAUUUUGCGCGGAAAAUAUAACGGGGCUAAAGUAAGUACCGAAGCUGUAGACUUGCACACAACUUAGAUUAUUUAAGUUUAGAAUAUGAGAAACUAAGUUAUAUGUUUAGUUAUAUUUUUACUGAUUUUUAUAGAGUAAAGAUAGAAAUAAAACUUAGUAAAAUCAGUAAAAAUAUUCUUAGACUAAAGUUAAGUAGUUUAAGUUGUGUGCAAGUGGUAGGAGAGCGUUCUAUUUGCGUCGAAGGUAUACCGGUAAGGAGUGCUGGAGCGAAUAGAAGUGAGCAUGCAGGCAUGAGUAGCGAUAAUUAAUGUGAGAAUCAUUAACGCCGUAAACCCAAGGUUUCCUACGCGAUGCUCGUCAUCGUAGGGUUAGUCGGGUCCUAAGUCGAGUCCGAAAGGGGUAGACGAUGGCAAAUUGGUUAAUAUUCCAAUACCAACAUUAGUGUGCGAUGGAAGGACGCUUAGGGCUAAGGGGGCUAGCGGAUGGAAGUGCUAGUCUAAGGUCGUAGGAGGUUGUACAGGCAAAUCCGUAUAACAAUACUCCGAGAACUGAAAGGCUUUUUGAAGUCUUCGGAUGGAUAGAAGAACCCCUGAUGCCGUCGAGCCAAGAAAAGUUUCUAAGUUUAGCUAAUGUUGCCCGUACCGUAAACCGACACAGGUGGGUGGGAUGAGUAUUCUAAGGCGCGUGGAAGAACUCUCUUUAAGGAACUCUGCAAAAUAGCACCGUAUCUUCGGUAUAAGGUGUGGUUAGCUUUGUAUUAGGAUUUACUCCGAAAGCAAGGAAACUUACAACAAAGAGUCCCUCCCGACUGUUUACCAAAAACACAGCACUCUGCUAACUCGUAAGAGGAUGUAUAGGGUGUGACGCCUGCCCGGUGCUCGAAGGUUAAUUGAUGGGGUUAGCAUUAGCGAAGCUCUUGAUCGAAGCCCGAGUAAACGGCGGCCGUAACUAUAACGGUCCUAAGGUAGCGAAAUUCCUUGUCGGUUAAAUACCGACCUGCAUGAAUGGCGUAACGAGAUGGGAGCUGUCUCAAAGAGGGAUCCAGUGAAAUUGUAGUGGAGGUGAAAAUUCCUCCUACCCGCGGCAAGACGGAAAGACCCCGUGGACCUUUACUACAGCUUGACACUGCUACUUGGAUAAGAAUGUGCAGGAUAGGUGGGAGGCUUUGAGUAUAUGACGCCAGUUGUAUAUGAGCCAUUGUUGAGAUACCACUCUUUCUUAUUUGGGUAGCUAACCAGCUUGAGUUAUCCUCAAGUGGGACAAUGUCUGGUGGGUAGUUUGACUGGGGCGGUCGCCUCCCAAAUAAUAACGGAGGCUUACAAAGGUUGGCUCAGAACGGUUGGAAAUCGUUCGUAGAGUAUAAAGGUAUAAGCCAGCUUAACUGCAAGACAUACAAGUCAAGCAGAGACGAAAGUCGGUCUUAGUGAUCCGGUGGUUCUGUGUGGAAGGGCCAUCGCUCAAAGGAUAAAAGGUACCCCGGGGAUAACAGGCUGAUCUCCCCCAAGAGCUCACAUCGACGGGGAGGUUUGGCACCUCGAUGUCGGCUCAUCGCAUCCUGGGGCUGGAGCAGGUCCCAAGGGUAUGGCUGUUCGCCAUUUAAAGCGGUACGCGAGCUGGGUUCAGAACGUCGUGAGACAGUUCGGUCCCUAUCUGCCGUGGGCGUAAGAAGAUUGAAGAGAUUUGACCCUAGUACGAGAGGACCGGGUUGAACAAACCACUGGUGUAGCUGUUGUUCUGCCAAGAGCAUCGCAGCGUAGCUAAGUUUGGAAAGGAUAAACGCUGAAAGCAUCUAAGCGUGAAGCCAACUCUAAGAUGAAUCUUCUCUAAGCUCUCUAGAAGACUACUAGUUUGAUAGGCUGGGUGUGUAAUGGAUGAAAGUCCUUUAGCUGACCAGUACUAAUAGAGCGUUUGGCUUAUCUUU
rnacentral:rRNA from 1 species